CAUGCAGUCGAGCGGAUGAGAGGAGCUUGCUCUUCGAUUCAGCGGCGGACGGGUGAGUAAUGCCUAGGAAUCUGCCUAGUAGUGGGGGACAACGUUUCGAAAGGAACGCUAAUACCGCAUACGUCCUACGGGAGAAAGUGGGGGAUCUUCGGACCUCACGCUAUUAGAUGAGCCUAGGUCGGAUUAGCUAGUUGGUAGGGUAAAGGCCUACCAAGGCGACGAUCCGUAACUGGUCUGAGAGGAUGAUCAGUCACACUGGAACUGAGACACGGUCCAGACUCCUACGGGAGGCAGCAGUGGGGAAUAUUGGACAAUGGGCGAAAGCCUGAUCCAGCCAUGCCGCGUGUGUGAAGAAGGCCUUCGGGUCGUAAAGCACUUUAAGUUGGGAGGAAGGGCUCAUAGCGAAUACCUGUGAGUUUUGACGUUACCAACAGAAUAAGCACCGGCUAACUUCGUGCCAGCAGCCGCGGUAAUACGAAGGGUGCAAGCGUUAAUCGGAAUUACUGGGCGUAAAGCGCGCGUAGGUGGCUUGAUAAGUUGGAUGUGAAAUCCCCGGGCUCAACCUGGGAACUGCAUCCAAAACUGUCUGGCUAGAGUGCGGUAGAGGGUAGUGGAAUUUCCAGUGUAGCGGUGAAAUGCGUAGAUAUUGGAAGGAACACCAGUGGCGAAGGCGACUACCUGGACUGACACUGACACUGAGGUGCGAAAGCGUGUGGAGCACACAGGAUUAGAUACCCUGGUAGUCCACGCCGUAAACGAUGUCAACUAGCCGUUGGGAUCCUUGAGAUCUUAGUGGCGCAGCUAACGCAUUAAGUUGACCGCCUGGCGAGUACGGCCGCAAGGUUAAAACUCAUAUGAAUUGACGGGGGCCCGCACAAGCGGUGGAGCAUGUGGUUUAAUUCGAAGCAACGCGAAGAACCUUACCUGGCCUUGACAUGCUGAGAACUUUCCAGAGAUGGAUUGGUGCCUUCGGGAACUCAGACACAGGUGCUGCAUGGCUGUCGUCAGCUC
rnacentral:rRNA from 1 species